GGCACGAGUGUUAAUAUUUAGCAGUAGGGACGUUUUGAGGUAAUUUUAAGAAUACAAGAACUAAAUAGGCACUAACCUUAUAAUAUAUGGACUAAACAAGCUUUUAUCUUAUUUUGAAUGGAACAAAAGUUUGACACUGCAAAUUACACAAACAAAAAUUUAAAAUGAUAUUACAAAAAUUUCAAAAAGUAAGUUGGGGAGUUGAAGACUUUUUGCUUUUUUUAUCUUAGGUUUCAAAAAAUUUCUAUAAGUAAGUUGGUUGCCUCGAAAACUUUUACAUUUUACAGUACUUUCCGAAAAUUUUCAAAAAGUUAAGAGUUGCCAAGGCUAUAUAUCUUCAGCCAUUAAUGUGAUUCCGCUACGUAUAGCCAAACUGGUAGAGAAGUAGCUAGUUUCCAUUUUGGCAAGGUUACAAUGUGCGGAUAAAACACGUAUGAAGAAAGAACAUAGGGAUUGUUGAAGGGGGUUCUAGGAAUUUAUGAUAGAUCUAGAAAAUCUCGACACAGAGUUGAUUUUUCUCACUCUCUGAUUAUUGAAGUUGCACCCCAACUAGUUUCUUGGAUUUUUUACACAGUUUAGGGUGUAUAUACGCGACUUAAGCUGUGUUUUUGACAUGUUUUAAAGCAUACAAACACAGUAAUCAAUUUUGACUAAACAACAUUGAUUCGUUGAAUGCUCACCAGACAACAGGCUUUCUUAAGAGACAUAAUAUUUAUAAUAUAAGUGAGCGUGCAUGGGAAUUGAAAAUUGGCUGACUACAUGGGAUGCUUAACUAGCAAUUUCUUUGGUACAAGGUUGUCUACUGAUUACGAGUCUAAAUUGCUUAGCGCGUUUGACCCACUUCGCGAGCUACCUGCAGAUCUACAAAUUUCUACAAAAAAAUUCAAACAAUGGAAGUUUGAAUUGAUGCUAUCACAUCCCAAUUUUACCUGCAGAUCUACAAAUCUCAAUGGAAGCAAAUUAAAACUCAUCUUCAAAAUUUUACUUAUGAUUGAAAAAAUAUUUUGUUAUUAAAAAAACUCUUUUAACCCAUGAAGAUGCAAUAUCAUUCAUUCACUUAAUACACGAACAAUCAAUACGACAAUGGAAGACAAUUUAGGUAGUGUUUACUUUUGACAUUAGAUUGAAAAUUCUAAGGAAUAUGAAUCGUGGGAUUGAGAGUAUAGAAUGUGAAAGAGAGUAGGUUAUUUUCUUAUUUAAAUAUAGCUUAUUUAAGUAGAGAUUUUACCUAAAAAAUUUUAGUUGUUUGGUUGUCAAUGACCGAUUUUAUUAAAAAUUAUAAAAUUAUUUUAAUAGAUAAAUUUUAAAAAGUUAUUUUAUGAAAAGAAUGAAAUAAGAUUGUAAAAUAAGUAGAGGAUAUUUUAAAUAUUUUAAUAUUUAAAAAAGAACUUUUCAUUCUCUACUUUUAAAAGCUCAAAAUUUGAGCAUUUUCUAGUAGAGGUAAAACAACUUAUUUAAGGUUCAAAAGCUCUACUAAAAAAUCAACUAAAUUGUUGACAUAAUAUACUUAUAAUAUUGAUUUUGAUGAUAACAAAUCAUGUGUCAUGGGUAAAAAAUGUUGGAGUCUUUAAAAUUGAAUGAAAUUCUUACGCUAUAUAGUGUUUUGGGACAAAAUUGAGGUUUUGGAAAUAAAUGGAUAACCACUGACUUUGAAACGGUUAACUGAUAACUCAAGGUUACAUUUUGAUUGAUUCUGGAAGAUCCGUUAACCGAAAAUAUGCAAACAACAAGCCGGCUUGGAACAGGUAAGCUUAUGAAAUUUAACAGCAAACUGUUACUUGAAAAUGGCAAGCCGACUUCAAUCAGUGAACUCGUUGGAAUUAAACGGCUGACUGACAUCCUCUAACGGCAAUCUGACAAUUCAAAAUUCUGAAUAAUGGUAACUUGCAAAAAGUCAAAAUAGUAAUCCGACUUGUGUUAAUAACGAUCUGAUUAUGCCUAAAAAGUCAACAACGACUAAUUUUCUUCUCCAACUAUAAAGGCUCAAUCAAAUUCAAAUUUAGGUAGAGAUUCAACAAUUGUCAUUGAGCUUGCUUUUGUAUAUUCAAACUAUAUUGAGUUCAAACUUGUUUUUUCCUUCAUCAAAUCACAGUUUGAGCUUUCAUUUGUAAAUACAUAUAUGUGUAAUCUUCAUUUCAAUUUCAAUAUUGAGUGAUUUUAAGUGUGGGAAACACUUUGGGAAAAAUGUGAGAGGUCAUCUCAUAUUUUAAAGGUUUUAUUGACACAUUGGAAGUCAAUUGUAAGCAUCUUGAAGCCUUGAGUUACAAAGGCUUGUAUAGUGGAAUUCUCAAGCUCAGUUAGCUUGGAGGUAUAGACGUAGGAAGAGUUUGCCGAACCAUGUAAAAAUUCGACGUUUGAUUUUCUUUCCCUUAUCUCUUUUAAAUUUAUCGGUUAUUAUAUUUAUUAUUUCUAGUUUGUAGCAUAAGUUUGUAUUGAAUUUUAAACUUAUUACUUAAUAACUUUUAGAAACUCAAUUCACCUACCCUCUUAGGUUGCUUUGCUAGAAUUUCACAAAAAAUAGCAAAAUUUUUGAUAAAAAACUUAUGGGAUUAAAUAAGCACUUAUGGUCAUUAGAUAAGUCAUGCUAAACAGACACUUACACUAGAAUAUGAGUGUGGAAUAAGAAUUAAAAUCUCAUUUAUAUGUUUACUUUGUCUUGGAUUAGAAGUGAAUCGUUUUAAAUUAUAGUUUACCUUUAUUUAGAAAAUU
rnacentral:lncRNA from 1 species